AUGAAUAUUGCCGUCCUCUCCCGUUGGCUUUGGCGCAUCUCGCAAGGUCACGGUGGCCUCUGGCUUGACAUUAUCCAGAACAAAUACCUGCGUGGACAACCCCUAGCCUUCUGCCAGAAAUCGGGUGGCUCUCAGUUCUGGCAGUCUAUUGUCCAGCUCCUCCCGGUCCUCCGCAUAGGGACCUCCAUCUCGGUGGGAUCCGGUCUCUCGACGCUCUUCUGGUUUGAUCGCUGGGCCGGGGACACUCCCUUUGCGGCUCGCUUCCCUGUCCUCUUCUCUAUCUCCGUCGAUCCCAUGAUCCCUGUUGAUAGGGCCCUUCUUGACUUAGGGUGCCUUGCUUUCCGACGGUCUUUUGGGCCCGCGGAAUCCACCGCCUGGUGUGAGUUGCUUGACCGUAUUGCUCUCCAUGAGCCUUUGGUGGAUGGUGGCCCAGACCUGGUGCGCUGGCGCCUUGAGCCGUCGGGCCAGUUCUCCACCAAGUCGCUUUACCUGGCCAUUGCCCCAUCCUUCGCCCCCUUCCCCAUGGUUUGGUCCAUCCGCGUACCCCUGAAAAUUCGUAUCUUCAUGUGGCAAUGGAUUCGCGGUCGGGUCCCGUCCGGGGUGGAGGUCCGCAAGCGCAAUGGCCCGGGUACAGGCAUCUGGCCGCUCUGUGGUGCUCCCGAAGACUCGAACCACAUUUUCUUCUCCUGCGUUUCCGCCCAGUUCCUUUGGAGCUGCUUUCGAGAGGUGGUCGAUGGAAAUUGGUGCCACACCAAUUUCCCGGACUUAUUUGCUGAACUCUAG
rnacentral:rRNA from 1 species